rnacentral:rRNA from 1 species
UACGGGGGGGGCAAGCGUUGUUCGGAAUUACUGGGCGUAAAGGGCUCGUAGGCGGCCAACUAAGUCAGACGUGAAAUCCCUCGGCUUAACCUGGGAACUGCGUCUGAUACUGGAUGGCUUGAAUUCGGGAGAGGGAUGCAGAAUUCCAGGUGUAGCGGUGAAAUGCGUAGAUAUCUGGAGGAAUACCGGUGGCGAAGGCGGCAUCCUGGACCGAGAUUGACGCUGAUGAGCGAAAGCUAGGGGAGCAAACGGG